CUGCAUGGAGCCGACCUUGAAAUACCACCCUUUAAUGUUUGAUGUUCUAACGUGGACCCGUAAUCCGGGUUGCGGACAGUGUCUGGUGGGUAGUUUGACUGGGGCGGUC
rnacentral:rRNA from 1 species